GAUGAACGCUGGCGGCGUGCCUAAUACAUGCAAGUCGAGCGAACGGACGAGAAGCUUGCUUCUCUGAUGUUAGCGGCGGACGGGUGAGUAACACGUGGAUAACCUACCUAUAAGACUGGGAUAACUUCGGGAAACCGGAGCUAAUACCGGAUAAUAUUUUGAACCGCAUGGUUCAAAAGUGAAAGACGGUCUUGCUGUCACUUAUAGAUGGAUCCGCGCUGCAUUAGCUAGUUGGUAAGGUAACGGCUUACCAAGGCAACGAUGCUAAGCUGACCUGAGAGGGUGAUCGGCCACACUGGACCUGGGCCACGGUCCAGACUCCUCCGGGAGCCGGCAGUAGGGAAUCUUCCGCAAUGGGCGAAGGCCUGACGGAGCAACGCCGCGUGAGUGAUGAAGGUCUUCGGACCUUAAACCUCUGUUAUUAGGGAAGAACAUAUGUGUAAGUAACUGUGCACAUCUUGACGGUACCUAAUCAGAAAGCCACGGCUAACUACGUG
rnacentral:rRNA from 1 species